GUAUCAUCUUCUCUCCUCUUCCCGGAACAUCUUUCAUCUCCAGAUCUACUCAUCGUCAUUUUUCUGCUUCUGAAUCGGUACGCAGAUCCAUGUAGAUCGUUCGCCGAUCUACAGUUCGAGUAUGGUUUCGACUUGUAUCGGACAUCGAUUCCCUGCGAAAUGGUUAUGAAUUCAGAUUUGUUUAGAUCGUUUGCCGAUCUAUCAUUUCUGAGUUUUGUCGGUAUGAAUAUUGCUCGGACCAUGGACGAUGCUAUCGGCUAGAUGAAGAUUGGAUAGAUCUGAUGGAUUUGUUACGAGAUUGAGAGAUGUAUGGCCUUUUCAAGGAGAGUUCUCGGUGAUCUGAGAUGAUUUUUUGACCUUCAAUUGGUGGAGGCUUCGUUGUUCGCGGAUAUAGUUUUGUCGGUUAUCAUCGUUUCAAUCGGGUGAUUUUACUGUAUCUCUGUAGAGCUCGGUGCGAUUGGAUAUCACUGGUGUUCUAUUUAUGCUAGAUCUCGAGGGAUGGUAAUCGGCAAGCUUGAGGUUGUUAGAUAAGGUUAUCAUAGUUAAAUUUGUUGUCUAUUCUCAGCUUAAUUAUUAAAAUUUGCAUUAGUUUUACUGAUAUGCAUGCAUAUGUAUGAGGAAAUAAUGAGAUCGUAGAGAAAAGAGAGGAUAUGUGAGGUUCUUUAUUGUUGUUUACCGGCCUUUGCCAUGCCGGGUGCGCUCGCAUGGCAGGUCACAAAACCUAAUAAAGAUGCGAUUUUUGUGUUUGGAGGGGAGAUGGUACGGGAUUUUUAGCCCGACUCUCCUCUCUGUGUCUUGUCUUUGGCCUCCCUUCUCUGUUUUCUAGAAUUGUCUGCAACAUCUACUCAGAUAAACGUCUCAUCAAAUUUGGCGUUAAUGUCCCCGAACGAUGGUUUGGUUAUCUGUCAAGUUAUAGCAGCGCUCUACCUUUUCAAGGGAUAGGUAUAUCAUGCACUCUUAAUACAACAAUGGACAGGCGUAUUCUAGGAUUAUUCAGCUCCACACUCCUACCAAAGGUACACUUAUGAAUUCCUUUCACUAACUUUGACAUUAACUUUAAUAGCUUAUGUUCUCUCCAUUAGUAAAUAAGCCUUGC